AAACUUGAAUUAAAACAAACUAACAUCCUCCCUUAAUUCAAGUUUCCACUUCCUUCAUUCCAAUCAAGCUUCUGAGCUUGAUGAACCUGUCAACCUUCAAUGCCUUAGUGAAUAUGUCUACAAGCUGCAGCUCAGUAGAGCAAUGAAAAAUCUGCAGUGCUCCCUUGUUCACCGAUGACAGUACGUCAUUACUAGUUUUUUAGUCAUAUUUGUGUCCUUUUUGUAAUGUUUUGAGAGUCAAAUGCUUGUAUACAUGGUUAAAUCAGCUCAAGAUUCAUAAAAGAUAAGUUUUGCACAAAUUGGAAAAAAAAUCAAAGAAUUUAGCUACCGGAUCGUGCCACGAUGGACCUGAAUUGUGGCACGUUUGAAGCGUGGAAUUUACCUGAAGAUACUGGAAAAAUCGUGGCACGAUGGAUAUGUAACGUGCCACGAUGGUUUAGUAAAUUUGCUGCCACGUCAGAUUAAUGAAGGAAUCGUGCCACGAUGGACGCGAAACGUGGCACGAUGAUGGGCUUUUCAGAAAUCCUAAUUCUUUGUCUAUAAAAGUCAGAUGCGACCAGAAGCUUAGGGGAGAUUUUGGAGACCUAAAUAGAGCAUAGACGACACCAGGAAGCCGAAUAACACGCAUUCGAUCUCACCAAACUCAUAGUUGGUUCUGGUUUAUGUAUGUUCACUAUUUUCUAUGUAUUUGAUUGUUUAGUUAUGAGUAGCUAAACUCUUAGAUUGAUUAAGCCAUGAGACGAGUCUUUGUGAUUUGUCAACCAUGUAAUUUGUUAAGAACUCUCUUUGACAUCAAUGAAAACCUAGUCUUUAUUCAGAAUUAUUUGUGUUUAUUGCUUUUCGUAUGAUUGUAUGAAUGACUAUUAACCCUAGUUUCUUUCAAUCACAUAAAUUGAUCUUAGGAAUUGAAUGACUACUAACCCUAGCUUUUAAUCAUGAAAUAGUAAUUCUGUUUAAUUCAACAUAAGAACCUAGAGAUAGGAAAUUGAGAGUUAUGACUUAUGAAUUAACGUUCUGACAUAACUUCCACGGUUAUUCAAUCGGCUUAAGAGAUUAAAAGGUUAUAACUUAGGAAAGGGUUUUGAGUCAAGAGAUUGAUCAAAACCACUUAGUUAAUCCGUCGUAAACCUAGGUUAUUUUCUUUGAGAGAUAAGAGAGGCAAAUUACUCACAGUGAGCAAUAGAGGAUUCGAAAGGCUUGAUCAUCUGUUUUAAUCCAAUUAUCAAACCAUUUUAUUUUCUGUUAUUUACUUUUUAUUGCAACCAAAUCCAACUGCCUAGGGCAACCCAUAAAUUUAAUACAUCCUUUAUUCUAACGCUUUUAAUUAAACACCAAGAUUUGAUUAAAUAAUUGAUUUUACAACAAGUAAAAAGAAUUUGAAUUUACAGGGAUUCAAUGAUUGGAUUUCCCCUAAAUCCCAAGACAAAUAAGGGUUUAUUCGCUCAUGAUCAUAUUAAACAUGAAUAAUAAAUACAAUAUGAUUAUAAAUAAGAUAAGAGAAAAAUGAAUUAGAUUGAAGUUUCCAAAUUGAAAUUAGAAGAAUUCAAUAAAACCAAGGAGCUCCGUUCCCUUGAACUAUUCAGUUGAUAAAAACAAUGCAUAAUAUAUACAAGGUAUGGAUUCGAACCCUGAACACCACCAAAAAAACCAAUGAGUUCUCGAUGUUUACUGGUGAAGAGUGGUGUCCAAACAUAGCUAUUUGGUGCCUUUCUAUAGAAGAAGAUGUCAUAAUACACGGGUGGCACUUCAUUGACUUUGUGUUGGGUGAUUUUGGUGACUUUAGUGUAUUCUAGAUGAAAGAGAAAACGGAUCAAAAUCGGAAUAUGAGCGUAAUACCCCAUUUAUUAGGAAUUCACAAUACACCGAUGGGAAUCCUUUUUUGGAGAAACUAGAAUCGUCAAAUAAAUAUUAAUGGGUUAAAUAUGUUUUUGGUCCCUAUAAAUAUGUCAACUUUUCAUUUUAGUCCCUCUAAAAUUUUCCUUCAACUUUUAGUCCCUAUAAAAUUUUCAAUCACUACUUUGGGUCCCUAUUUUUAAUUUAAUUUUUUUUUUAAUGAAAUUGUGCAGAAAUGUGUCAAAUAUUCUAAAAAAAAUUAGAUUUUUUUAACAAAACACAAAUUAAAUAUGAAUUUUUAACCAUAAACAAUAUAAAAAUUCAUAUUAAAUUCAUAUUUUGUUAAAAAAUUAUUAAUUUUUUUUGGAGUCAUUCUUAUAAUAUUUUGAAUUAUUCUGGAAAAUUUUAUUAAAUAAUAUGAAUUCUACAUAUGAGUUUACUUUAAAAGAGGGACCAAAAGUGAAGAUUGAAACUUUAUAGGGACUAAAAGUUGAAGGAAAAUUUUAGAGGGACUAAAACAAAAAAUUGACAUAUUUAUAGGGACCAAAAGCAUAUUUAACCCAAUAUUAAUUUAUUGUGUAUAAAUGUGAAUCAAAGAAUUCAUCUGGUUGGGAAUGUUGAAUAAAUAAUGCAACUAGAAAAUUUUAUACUCAUACCCUAUCGUUAAAUAAUUUUAUAAAUAAAAAAUCCUACAACGUGUUCAACUCUUGCAAAACUAUGUCAUCUCCCUGAUUUUAUAUUAUUAAUAGUGAAUACUUUUCUAUGUUCCAACUUUUUUUUAGUUUCUCUCAAAAAAAAAGUUUUUUUUUUAGUUUCCCCUUUCUAUCAUCAAAGGUUAAAAUUUAAUUUAAAAAAAUAAUUGUAAUGAUUAAAGUUUUUACGUUACCAUUUUAGUAAGUUUGCUAAAUGACAAAAUGCAACAUAUUGAUAUACUUAAGAGACAUUUAAUAAGUAUUCAAAUUUUAGGGAGAUUUAUUUACAACUUUGUAAACGCUAAAUUAAUUAAUUAAUUUAUAUCAAAAAAUCAUUCGCUUUAUACACUAUAAAGUUAUCAAAUUAUAUUCAAUUUGUUACAUGCCAAGAGAUUAAAAUAUGACUUAAACUUUCGAUUUUGUGUAUGCUACGAUUAUAUUUAGUUUCUUAUUUUUUGCUGAAAAGAACGUUGUUGGUAAGCUAUUUUUCAUACUUUUCAAGUUACUUUUUUACUUUGUAGUACGUAUACAAUAUUUUAUCUCAUUUUAGUAAUAUUAUUUUAUCUUUUUUUUAUUUUUUAUUACAGCAUAUAUUAUUGAAUGUAAAACCGAUAAUGAUUGUCCAAUAAGUCAAUUGAAAAUAUAUGCAUGGAAGUGCGUUAAAAACGGAUGCCAUUUGUUUGAUGUGAUUCCAAUGAUGUAUGAGUAAUAGAUCCAAGAGAGUACACAUAUUCCAUGCAAUGAAGAAUGAGUUAUUUCGACCAAAAAAAAAAUGAGUUAUCAAAUGACAAAAAGAUUUAUGCAAUGUGUAUUGUGCUAGAAUAUUCCACAAUUUCCAUUUAGUUAUUGUGAUCGCACCCAAUAAUUGUAUUUUUAAUUUAUUUUAAUUUUCUUAAUUUCACAAAUCUUUUAAUUAUGUCUUUGUACUUUAAGAUGUUGGUAUUGAAAUUAAAUAAGAAACUAAACAAUAUUAUAGUAAGAUUAUCGUUCCAACAAAAAUUGGGGAUUAAUUAUAAGAAACAGUUAUCAAGGACUUACAAAGUUUGUUGGUGAUAAAAAGCAUAAAGACCAUUUUGGAGUUUUUCCAUGUUCAAGUUAAAACUAAAAGAAUUUAUGAAAUAGGUCUUGGAAAAUGAAAAAUUAAAUAAUAAAAGUCAAAUCAAUCUUAAGACGUAACUUUGAUUACAUUUGUUGAGAGAUACUUAUAUGGACACAACACCAAAUCAAAAUCUCCUAAGCACACAAUCAUUAAAAUAUAUAUCAUUUAGUUAUUUCUUUUUUAUGUGUGUAUGUCUAAAUGACAAAUAUUUAUGUUUUUGACCAAGCAAGUGCUAUAACAAAAUGAGUCAGAGAGAACUUGGUAUGUUUUUCAACACAUUCACCAUGGCUCUCAUGAAGGUUGUAUUUCUUUACUAUAUAUGUGUUCCUUAAUGUAUUUCUUUAUUUAGGUUGUGGUGUAUGAAUCUGGCCUUUGUUUGUAACCAUCAAUAGUACAUAUUAAUGAGAAUCCUUUGUUUUCAUUCGGAUAUUUAUUUUGCAAGUGUUUCGCAAGUGAUGUUUGUUCUUUACUUUAUCGUAUCUUAAUGCAAGCUAGUCUACUUGUGGCAAUCGGUUCAUAGCCAAAGGUCGACUUCCCUCGACCCUACUAUGGAGGCAUUACCUGUAAUAUUCCAGACUGCUUUAAGCAUUAUCGAAUAACGUUAUAAACCAACACCAGUCUUUUAGACGUGUUUUGUCCUCACUCACAUGUUUUCUGGGAAAUUUUUCAAAAGGUCACCCAUCCAAAGACUACUCCAAAUCAAGCACACUUAAAGGUAUGAGGAUGUUCAUCCCCCAAUAUGAGAAUGGUCAUGGAGAUAACACUAUGUUCAGUUCAAUCGGGGGUGCUACAUGCAUAUCUCCAUGUUUUUGGCAUUUGUCACAUGUCUUAGCAUAUUCUUUAGAAUUUGUGUUCAUGCCACUAAUAACCGGCUGAUAAGUAUUUCGUUGCCUAAGGUCAUACACCCAAGUCUCUCACGACUAUUCCUCCAUGUGUUUCCUCGAGGACAUUGUUACCUCCUUCCUUUAUCAAGCAUUUAAACAAUGUUUUGGAGCGUCCUCUUUGGUACAGUUGUCCCUUAAUAAAAAAAGAACAUGAUUGUCAUUUGAUGCAGGCAGCCACAUUAUACCAUGGUGGUCCUCUUUGCAGACCUCUGCUAUGAAACCAUCUAGGAUAGGAUUCGACAAAGUCUCAUGUAUAACUAUCUUGUUUUCACUUUUCCUUUUAGAACUUGCUAUCUUAGAGAAUUUGUCAGCCUUUAGGUUAUUCUCUCGUGGAAUGUGUCUGAGCCUUACCAACUUGAAUCUUCAGAUGAUUUAUUUAACGAGGCACAAAUAUCUUUGCAUCUUUUGACCCAUAGCCUUGUAUUCCCUAUUUAUUUGAGAAAUCACUACUUUUAAGUCCGACUUGAGCAGUAUUUCUUGAGUCCCUAUUUCUGCUACGUGUUGGAGUCUGGCUAGGCAUGUUUUGUAUUCAGACUGGUUAUUUGUAUUCACAAAAUUGAAGCGGAUGGAGACUUGGAUUUUGAUGACUCUGGCCCCACACCCCUUGACUCGAUGUACACAAUCUAUCGAUGGAAUGAUUAUGGUUUUUCAGAUGUCAUCGUUGUCACGAUGUCUGCCAGAACCAGAGCCUUAAGGACCUUUUGGAUUCAUACAACACAUCAAAUUUUGACAGUUAAAUCGUCCAUUUUGUAAUCCUUCAGGCAUGGUUUGGCAUGAAAAACUUUUUCUGAACUGGUUGGUCGUUUCAGACCAUUAUCUGGUGGACCACACAGUACUGUUUGAGCCUUCGGUCCUGGUAGAACUUCACUGGAAGUAGAUCGACUUCUGGACAUCCAAAAUCUUCCUAAUAAGGGUUAUGCUAACUAUUUCUGCUGGAACUGGUUGGUAGAGAAUUAGGGUUUCGUUAAUAUGGGAGGCAUGGUUUCAUCGUCCCUUAAUUUAAUUUCAGAUAACGAUUUCAUCCUUUGUAUUUUUCACGUCAUUUUUGUCCUUUUGCAUAUAGACUUUCAAACAUCAAAAUUUAAAAUUCAUAUGAAAACCUUGGUGAAAGACCAUAUAUUUGGACACUAAGAGCUCAUACUAAAAUAAAAUCAUAGGCUUGAAUUCAUAUAAAAAUUGAUCAAAAAUAUGAAAAAUGCCGUAAAAAAUAUAAAGGAUGAAAUUGUUACCGUAGGUUAAGAGCAACAAGAGUAACUUUGCCUAGAUAUUUCUAUUCCUAUAUUAUAAAAAUAAACGACAACACUCUCUGAUUGUGCUAUUUUCGAAAGGUUGAAAGUUAAUUUUGCCUCUCAUGAAAGGUUGAAAGUUAAUUAAAAAUGAAUUAUUUUUAAUGAUUGGCAAAUUUUUUACCUUACCCCUUUAGUAAGCAUGAUAAAGUGACAAACACGAUACAUUGAUCUACAAAAGAGACAUUUAAUAAUGAUUCUAAUUUUAGGGAGACUUAUUUACAACUCCUUAAGCACUAAAAAUAAUAAUUGUUUUUAGGUCAUCAUGCUCUUUAUAGACUAUAAAGUGGUCUAAUCAUAUUCUAUUUUUUUUCCGGCAAAGAGAGAAAAUAUGGCUAAAACUUUAAAUUUUGUGUGUGCAAUGAUUUUAUUUAUUUCCUUGUUUCUUGUUUCAAAGAACGUUGCUUGUAAGACAUUUUACCCACUUUUAAAAUUCUCUUCUUUACUUUUUAAUUUGUAUAUAUUUUAUCUCAUUUUAGUAACAUCAUUUUAUCCUCUUUUUUCACUACAGUAUAUAUUAUUGAAUGUAAAACUGAUGCUGAUUGUCCAAUAAGUAAGUUAAAUAUGUAUAACUGGAGAUGCAUUAAAAGUUCAUGUCAUCUGUAUAAAGUCAUUCAAUUU
rnacentral:lncRNA from 1 species